GACGGAGGGGGCUAGCGUUGUUCGGAAUGACUGGGCGUAAAGGGCGCGUAGGCGGUCAAUCAAGUCAGGCGUGAAAGCCUCGGGCUUAACCCGAGAACUGCGCUUGAUACUGGUUAACUAGAGGACGAGAGAGGAAAGUGGAAUUCCGAGUGUAGAGGUGAAAUUCGUAGAUAUUCGGAGGAACAUCAGUGGCGAAGGCGGCUUUCUGGCUCGUAACUGACGCUGAGGCGCGAAAGCGUGGGGAGCAAACAGG
rnacentral:rRNA from 1 species